GGAGAGGUGGUCGAGUGGUCGAAGGCGCCGGUCUCGAAAACCGGAGUGGGUUUAGGCCCACCGAGGGUUCGAAUCCCUCCCUCUCCGCCA
rnacentral:tRNA from 1 species